GUAGGAGGCGAGCGUUAUCCGGAUUCACUGGGCGUAAAGCGCGUGCAGGCGGUUUGGUAAGUUGGGCGUGAAAGCUCCCGGCUCAACUGGGAGAGGUCGUUCAAUACUACCAGACUAGAGAGUAGAAGAGGAAGAUGGAAUUCCCGGUGUAGUGGUGAAAUGCGUAGAUAUCGGGAGGAACACCAGUGGCGAAGGCGAUCUUCUGGUCUAUUUCUGACGCUCAGACGCGACAGCUAGGGUAGUAAACGGGAUUAGAGACCCCGGUAAUCCUAGCCGUAAACGAUGUGAACUUGGCGUCGGUGGCUUAAACACCAUCGGUGCCGAAGCAAACGCGAUAAGUUCACCGCCUGGGGACUACGGCCGCAAGGUUAAA
rnacentral:rRNA from 1 species